GUAGUCACCUGACUCGUUCGUGUCGGUAGUCACCUGACUCGUUAGUGUCAGUAGUCACGUGACUCGUUCGUGUCGGUAGUCACCUGACUCGUUCGUGUCGGUAGUCACCUGACUCGUUAGUGUCGGUAGUCAUGUGACUCGUUAGUGUCGGUGGUCACGUGAGUCGUUAGUGUCGGUAGUCACCUGACUCGUUCGUGUCGGUAGUCAGGUGAGUCGUUAGUGUCGGUGGUCAGGUGAGUCGUUGUCAGUACAGAGUCGUGUGAGUCUCUUGAAUCCCUUUUGUCUGCAGAAGUGGACCAGAAGCUUUUCAGCCUUCAUGAGGCGAGUCCUCUGAAGCCGGAGGAUCCACAGCGAUGAAGAAGAAGAACCAGAAGAAGCUUUCAGAUCGGGUUUGGAUUCAUACACAUGAAGCCUCGUGGAGAUCUGAGGUGUGAGUCGGUACACUUUGAGGAAGAGAACCUGGUGUUGGUGGGAACUCUUAAUAGUCUCACGUGCUUCUGUAAUCGCUCUCCACACUGCAGCAGAGAAGCACGAGACUCAUUAAAUCCCUCCAGACCUCCUCAAACAUUCAUUCUGAAAGUCCUACCUGGAGGAGGCCAGAUGCUCGAGUAUCUCGAGUAAAGAUCAUACUAGCUAGUGAUUCAUGGUCUGUAAACCUGUGGAUUACUUUUUCCAUUAGCUGUUUAGUUUAUGAAAAUAAAACAAGUCCUCAAAUCUCUGGUUUGCUCACAACAAUCUGAUAAUAUUCAUAUUUAAGACAACUGGAGACUUUUUACUUUUUGCAUCAAACUGAUUCCUCAACUCAACGGUAGCCGAUAAUUAUACUUGAAUAAA
ensembl:lncRNA